rnacentral:miRNA from 1 species
CAGUUAGUUGUGAGAUUCCAUGUGGGUGCUGGGAAUUGAACCCUGCUCCUCUGGAAGUGCUUUUAACUGCUGAGCC